AUGACAUGUGGUCACUAAUGACAGGUUGUCACUUAUGACAGGUGGUCUCCUAUGACAGGUGGUCACUAAUGACAGGUUGUCACUUAUGACAGGUGGUCUCUUAUGACAGGUGGUCUCUUAUGAAAUGAUCACUUAAGACGAGUAAAAAUCAUUCAUUACUGAUGAUCAUUUGUGACAGGAGGACUCAAAUGAAAGGUGAUCACUUAUGACAGGUGGUCUUUCUUGAUGUGAUCACCUAAGACAGGUGAUCUGAUGUAACAGAAUGUCUCUUAUGAUUGGUGCUCACUUAUGACAGAUAAAACGUUGCCAGAACACUGGCGUCCAUCAGCGAGAUGAUACUGGACACGGGAGGAGUCGCAAGGACGGAAAACCUUUCAACCAACCAACCAUGACAAAUGACCUUUCAUAACAAGUGGUCAAGAAUAGCUUCAACAGAAGGUCAAUGACUGUAGAUUUCACAGAUUGAAGAAUUUUACUGUGUCCUUGAACACGGCAUUUAUAUCCUUGAUUCUAGACCUACCUGUAACUAAGCUGUUGUGUCUCUACCAUAAUGUUGUUUAUUUCUCAGAUUUAUCAGUAUUUUUAUGUCAUCCUAUCAGAACUAGUCAGUGUGGAUCAAAUUUCUGUUUUUUAUUUCACAUUUGUUCUCUU